rnacentral:rRNA from 1 species
GGAUGACACAGUAGGAUAAGCUAAGCACACUGUUGGUUAUGUGUGCCCAAGCAUUGAGGCAGUCAAAGUAGGCAAAUCCGCUUUGAUAAUGCUGGGAUGUGAUGGGGAGCGAAAUUUAGUAGCGAAGUAGCUGAUUUCACACUGUCAAGAAAAGUCUCUAUCGAGGUUAAAGGUACCCGUACCGCAAACCGACACAGGUGGGUGAGGAGAGUAUCCUAAGGCCAGCGAGAGAACUGUUGUUAAGGAACUCGGCAAAAUGACCCCGUAACUUAGGGAUAAGGGGUGCCACCAUCAGGUGGCCGCAGAGAAUAGGCCCAAGCGACUGUUUACCAAAAACAUAGGUUUCUGCUAAGUCGCAAGACGAUGUAUAGGAGCUGACGCCUGCCCGGUGCUGGAAGGUUAAGGGGAUCUGUUAGAGCAAUCGAAGCAGUGAACUUAAGCCCCAGUAAACGGCGGCCGUAACUAUAACGGUCCUAAGGUAGCGAAAUUCCUUGUCGGGUAAGUUCCGACCCGCACGAAAGGCGUAACGAUUUGGGCACUGUCUCAACAACAGACUCGGUGAAAUUGUAAUUCCGGUGAAGAUGCCGGAUACCUGCGACAGGACGGAAAGACCCCAUGGAGCUUUACUGUAGCUUGACAUUGGGUCUUGGUACUACAUGUACAGGAUAGGUGGGAGGCUUUGAAACCAGGACGCCAGUUUUGGCGGAGCCAUCCUUGGGAUACCACCCUUGUAGUACUGGGACUCUAACCAUAGGCCAUGAAUCUGGUCUUGGGACACUGUCAGGUGGGCAGUUUGACUGGGGCGGUCGCCUCCCAAAAGGUAACGGAGGCGCUCAAAGGUUCUCUCAGUACGGUCGGAAAUCGUACGUAGAGUGUAAAGGCAAAAGAGAGCUUGAUUGCAAGACAUACAGGUCGAGCAAGGAUGAAAAUCGGACUUAGUGAUCCGGUGGUUCUGCGUGGAAGGGCCAUCGCUCAACGGAUAAAAGCUACCCUGGGGAUAACAGGCUUAUCUCCCCCAAGAGUCCACAUCGACGGGGAGGUUUGGCACCUCGAUGUCGGCUCAUCACAUCCUGGGGCUGUAGUAGGUCCCAAGGGUUGGGCUGUUCGCCCAUUAAAGUGGUACGCGAGCUGGGUUCAGAACGUCGUGAGACAGUUCGGUCCCUAUCCGUCGCAGGCGUAGGAAAUUUGAGAAGACCUGUCCUUAGUACGAGAGGACCGGGAUGGACGUACCUCUGGUGUACCAGUUGU